rnacentral:lncRNA from 1 species
CUGUCUUUGCCGCCCUAGUCUGCAUUUCCCAGUAUUCUGCCAGCAGAAACGUAUUCGGUGCUCACACAUCAAUCCCUGGCUUCCCAGCGUCCCUCAGCAAACAUCCCCUUCUCCUGAUGCAAAAUAACCUCUCUCCUAUUGUUAUUAUCCCACAUGGUUCUAUUACUCAAUGCAGAGUGGCAUUGAGCAAAUUCACUCCAAGGUAUGAGAGUACUUGCAGGUGAAACAUUUUUUGUUAUAUCCAG